CAAUAAGCUAAGUAAGGGCGUAUGGCGGAUGCCUAGGCUCUCAGAGGCGAAGAAGGACGCGAUAAGCUGCGAUAAGCUUCGGGGAUUUGCACAUAAGACUUGAUCCGAAGAUUUCCGAAUGGGACAACCCAGCAUGUUGAAGACAUGUUAUCCAGCAAUGGAGGCGAACCCGGCGAACUGAAACAUCUAAGUAGCCGGAGGAAGAGAAAACAAUAGUGAUUCCGUCAGUAGCGGCGAGCGAACGCGGAACAGCCCAAACCAAUUUUGUUACGGCAAGAUUGGGGUUGUAGGACCACAACAUUCGAUGCUUAAAAAAUUAGAAUCAACUGGAAAGUUGAACCAUAGAGGGUGAUAGUCCCGUACAAGUAAUUUAAGUCAUUGAUAGUGGUAUCCUGAGUAGUGCGGGACACGAGUAAUCCUGUAUGAAUCCACCGGGACCAUCCGGUAAGGCUAAAUACUCCUGAGAGACCGAUAGUGAACUAGUACCGUGAGGGAAAGGUGAAAAGAACCCUAAAUAAGGGAGUGAAAGAGAUCCUGAAACCGUACGCCUACAAGCGGUCGAAGCACAUUUACUGUGUGACGGCGUGCCUUUUGCAUAAUGAGCCUACGAGUUACUGUUUCUAGCAAGGUUAAGUGGUUCAGCCACGCAGCCGUAGCGAAAGCGAGUCUGAAUAGGGCGCACAGUUAGUAGUAGUAGACGCGAAACCGGGUGAUCUACCCAUGGGCAGGUUGAAGCUGUGGUAACACACAGUGGAGGACCGAACCCGUUGACGUUGAAAAGUCUUGGGAUGACCUGUGGGUAGGGGUGAAAGGCCAAUCAAACCCGGAAAUAGCUCGUACUCCCCGAAAUGCAUUUAGGUGCAGCGUUGUGGUUGAGUUUUAUAGAGGUAGAGCUACUGAUUGGAUGCGGGGGCUUCACCGCCUACCAAUUCCUGACAAACUCCGAAUGCUAUAAAAUAUACACAGCAGUGAGGGCAUGGGUGCUAAGGUCCAUGUCCGAGAGGGAAAGAACCCAGACCAUCAGCUAAGGUCCCCAAAUAUAUACUAAGUUGAACUAACGAGGUUCGAUUGCACAGACAGCUAGGAUGUUGGCUUGGAAGCAGCCAUUCAUUUAAAGAGUGCGUAACAGCUCACUAGUCGAGCGAUCGAGCAUGGAUAAUAAUCGGGCAUAAGUAUAUUACCGAAGCUAUGGAUUUGCAGUUUACUGCAAGUGGUAGGGGAGCAUUGUAGCGGCGCCGAAGGUGUUUCGUAAGAAAUGCUGGAGCUUCUACAAAAGAAAAUGUAGGCAUAAGUAACGAUAAGGCGGGUGAGAAACCCGCCCACCGAAAAACCAAGGUUUCCUCAGCGAUGCUAAUCAGCUGAGGGUUAGUCGGGACCUAAGGCGUACCCGAAAGGGAAAGUCGAUGGACAACAGGUUAAUAUUCCUGUACCUGCUCACGUUAAAAGUGACGGAGUGGAGUAGUUGGUGCGUACUGACAGAAUAGUACGUUGAAGCGAGUAGUAAUACCGCGACAGUACACAGAGACUUCGGUCAAAGUGACAAUCCAGCGAACCCACUUCCAAGAAAAGCGAGUGAAGCAGCCCGUACCCCAAACCGACACAGGUGGUUGGGAAGAGAAUUCUAAGGUGCUCGAGUGAUUCAUGGCUAAGGAACUAGGCAAAAUCGCCCCGUAACUUCGGGAGAAGGGGCGCCCAUCUUCGAGAUGGGCCGCAGUGAAUAGGUCCAGGCGACUGUUUAUCAAAAACACAGGGCUCUGCUAAAUCGAAAGAUGAUGUAUAGGGCCUGACACCUGCCCGGUGCUGGAAGGUUAAGUGGAGGAGUUAGCUUUUAGCGAAGCUCUCAAAUGAAGCCCCAGUAAACGGCGGCCGUAACUAUAACGGUCCUAAGGUAGCGAAAUUCCUUGUCGGGUAAGUUCCGACCUGCACGAAUGGUGCAACGAUCUGGACACUGUCUCAGCCAUGAGCUCGGUGAAAUUGUAGUAUCGGUGAAGAUGCCGAUUACCCGCUACGGGACGAAAAGACCCCGUGAACCUUUACUAUAGCUUAGUAUUGACUUUGGAUAAGUAAUGUGUAGGAUAGGUGGGAGACAUCGAUCAUGCGUCGCUAGGCGUAUGUUAGUCGUCCUUGAAAUACCACCCUUUGCUUAUCUAGAGCCUAACCUCGCGAGAGGGACAGUGCUUGGUGGGUAGUUUGACUGGGGUGGUCGCCUCCAAAAGAGUAACGGAGGCUUCUAAAGGUACCCUCAGCACGGUUGGUAAUCGUGCGUAGAGUGCAAUGGCAUAAGGGUGCUUGACUGCGAGACCUACAAGUCGAUCAGGUUGGAAACAAGAGCAUAGUGAUCCGGUGGUUCCGCAUGGAAGGGCCAUCGCUCAAAGGAUAAAAGGUACUCCGGGGAUAACAGGCUGAUCUCCCCCAAGAGCUCACAUCGACGGGGGGGUUUGGCACCUCGAUGUCGGCUCGUCACAUCCUGGGGCUGGAGAAGGUCCCAAGGGUUGGGCUGUUCGCCCAUUAAAGUGGCACGCGAGCUGGGUUCAGAACGUCGUGAGACAGUUCGGUCUCUAUCUGUAGCGGGCGUUAGAAAUUUGCGUGGAUCUGAUUCUAGUACGAGAGGACCGAAUUGGACUGACCUCUGGUGUAUCUGUUGUUCUGCUAAGGGCAUUGCAGAGUAGCUACGUCGGGAAGGGAUAAGCGCUGAAAGCAUAUAAGCGCGAAACCCACCACAAGAUGAGAUUUCUUUUAAGGGUCGUGGAAGAUUACCACGUUGAUAGGCUAUAGGUGUAAAGGCAGUAAUGUCAUAGCCAAGUAGUACUAAUCACCCAUAGGCUUAUGUAC
rnacentral:rRNA from 1 species